UGGAAUUGCAGAGACAAAGCUGCAAGGCAGCCAACAGGACCACCUCGUAUCACCUGUGGUUAUCAGCAUCCUCACUGGAGCCAGUCUACUUGAUGACCUCUAUAAAUAUUUCUCCUUCCAUCACUCCCAUGGAGACACCAUGACUGUCAUGGAUCCAAAGCAGAUGAACGUGGCUGCUGCUGUUUGGGCUGUUGUCUCUUAUGUCAUCGCGGACAUGGAGGAAAUGCUGCCCAGGUCUUAGCAAGAACAGGAAAGAAAGCACUUUCGUCCUUUCUGGCCAGGAAUGCUGGGUCUGCAGCUCCAGGAAGUCCCUCUUCAACUAACACUUUCUUCUCACCUGAUCCAUUUUCAAAGCACAGUACUUUCUCAUACUUUCUGUUACCAUCCUUCUUGAUACUUUCCAAAUUCUCUGUUUCUAGAGGACGAAAUGAUCCUCACCCCCACAUAGAGUCAAAAUAUGGUAGGAAUCACAGUGGGGACCUUUAUUUAUACCACCUGUAAAAAUUAUUGUUUCUACUUUGAAAGUAAAUCCUGGAUAAAUAUUUGGAAGAUCUCUGGGUUUUAUGUGUGUAUUGAUGAACAUUAAAUCAAAUGCAGUGAUACCAA